rnacentral:rRNA from 1 species
AUUGAACGCUGGCGGCAUGCUUUACACAUGCAAGUCGAACGGUAACAGGGUGCUUGCACCGCUGACGAGUGGCGAACGGGUGAGUAAUGCGUCGGAACGUGCCGAGUAGUGGGGGAUAACGCAUCGAAAGGUGUGCUAGUACCGCAUACGUACUGAGGUAGAAAGUGGGGGACCUUCGGGCCUCACGCUAUUCGAGCGGCCGACGUCUGAUUAGCUAGUUGGUGAGGUAAAGGCUCACCAAGGCGAAGAUCAGUAGCGGGUCUGAGAGGAUGAUCCGCCAACUGGGGACGGAGCCACGGCACCGACUCCUACGGGAGUCAGCAGUGGGGAAUUUUGGACAAUGGGCGCAAGCCUGAUCCAGCCAUGCCGCGUGUCUGAAGAAGGCCUUCGGGUUGUAAAGGACUUUUGUCCGGGAGCAAAUACCCAGUGCUAAUAACGCUGGGGGCUGAGAGUACCGGAAGAAUAAGCACCGGCUAACUACGUGCCAGCAGCCGCCGUAACAC